CGCAAAGACAACUUAUCUGAAAUAUCUAAUCACAGUGUUUACUUUCCACUGAAAGACUUGUGCGCCUAUAAUCUGAGAAAUACAUCUUUUGCUUCAAUAACAGUGUUUUCUUCCUCCGGCGCAGCCUCUCAAAAUUUCAAAUUCCGGUCACUGUUCAUUCACACUCCGGCGAGAUGAAAAUUCCUGUAUUCCUACUUCUACUAAUCACUGUAACUCUCAAUCCAAUUGUUUCAGUCGCCGAUUCCGCUUAUCCCUCGCCGUAUGGUAUUGAAACGACUACCUCCUGUCAAUCUACUGACUUAAUUCCUGUCCGUCGGGAAGUUUACGGCAACGGAAGGAUUUUCGACAUUACUCACAGAUUGACCCCUGAUAUGCCGUCCUGGGGCUUAGAAGACGGGCUUGGCCAGUUCCUGUGGCUACCUAAGAGCAUGAAGAAUGGCUCUCUUGCUAAUAACUCCGAGAUGAAACUUCCGACCCACACUGGCACGCAUAUUGAUGCUCCUGGCCAUGUUUACGAUCACUAUUUCGAUGCUGGCUUUGAUGUCGACACUCUCGACCUAGAAGUUCUCAAUGGUCCUGCAUUGCUAGUUGAUGUUCCUAGAGACAAGAACUUAACUGCGGAUGCUAUGCAAUCCUUACAUAUUCCCAAGGGAGUCAAACGAGUACUUUUCAGAACACUAAACACUGACAGGCGGCUUAUGUGGAAAAAGGCAUUCGACACAAGCUAUGUCGGAUUCAUGAAGGAUGGAGCUCAGUGGCUAGUGGACAACACUGACAUCAAACUUGUUGGAAUUGAUUACUUAUCU
rnacentral:misc_RNA from 1 species